rnacentral:rRNA from 1 species
CCUACGGGUGGCAGCAGUGAGGAAUAUUGGUCAAUGGACGAGAGUCUGAACCAGCCAAGUAGCGUGAAGGAUGACUGCCCUAUGGGUUGUAAACUUCUUUUAUAAAGGAAUAAAACGAGGCACGUGUGCCUUUUUGUAUGUACUUUAUGAAUAAGGAUCGGCUAACUCCGUGCCAGCAGCCGCGGUAAUACGGAGGAUCCGAGCGUUAUCCGGAUUUAUUGGGUUUAAAGGGAGCGUAGAUGGGUUGUUAAGUCAGUUGUGAAAGUUUGCGGCUCAACCGUAAAAUUGCAAUUGAUACUGGCAGUCUUGAGUACAGUUGAGGUAAGCGGAAUUCGUGGAGUAGCGGUGAAAUGCUUAGAUAUCACGAAGAACCCCGAUUGCGAAGGCAGCUUACUAAACUGUGACUGACAUUGAUGCUCGAAAGUGUGGGUAUCAAACAGGAUUAGAUACCCGAGUAGUC